rnacentral:rRNA from 1 species
AUUGAACGCUGGCGGCAGGCUUAACACAUGCAAGUCGAACGAGUGGCGGACGGGUGAGUAAUGCCUGGGAAUCUAGCUUAUGGAGGGGGAUAACUACGGGAAACUGUAGCUAAUACCGCGUACCAUAGGAUGAGCCCAAGUGGGAUUAGCUUGUAGGUGGGGUAACGGCUCACCAAGCCGACGAUCCCUAGCUGGUCUGAGAGGAUGACCAGCCACACUGGGACUGAGACACGGCCCAGACUCCUACGGGAGGCAGCAGUGGGGAAUAUUGCGCAAUGGGCGCAACCCUGACGCAGCCAUGCCGCGUGAAUGAAGAAGGCCUUCGGGUUGUAAAGUACUUUCAGUGGGGAGGCGUUACCUACAGAAGAAGCACCGGCUAACUCCGUGCCAGCAGCCGCGGUAAUUC